rnacentral:tRNA from 1 species
UGGGGGAUCGUUCAAUGGUAGGACAACAGACUUUGGAUCUGUUUAUCUAGGUCCGCCUCCUAGUCCCCCAGCCA